rnacentral:rRNA from 1 species
AGUGAACGCUGGCGGUAGGCCUAACACAUGCAAGUCGAACGGCAGCACAGUAAGAGCUUGCUCUUACGGGUGGCGAGUGGCGGACGGGUGAGGAAUACAUCGGAAUCUACUUUUUCGUGGGGGAUAACGUAGGGAAACUUACGCUAAUACCGCAUACGACCUACGGGUGAAAGCAGGGGAUCUUCGGACCUUGCGCGAUUGAAUGAGCCGAUGUCGGAUUAGCUAGUUGGCGGGGUAAAGGCCCACCAAGGCGACGAUCCGUAGCUGGUCUGAGAGGAUGAUCCGCCACACUGGAACUGAGACACGGUCCAGACUCCUACGGGAGGCAGCAGUGGGGAAUAUUGGACAAUGGGCGCAAGCCUGAUCCAGCCAUACCGCGUGGGUGAAGAAGGCCUUCGGGUUGUAAGGCCCUUUUGUUGGGAAAGAAAAGCAGCAGGUUAAUACCCCGCUGUUCUGACGGUACCCAAAGAAUAAGCACCGGCUAACUUCGUG